GAAACUCCAGUGCACCAUUUAAUCUUCUUCGAUGAACUGAAGCAUGGCCUCGAAUGAAAAAAUCAGGCCAGUCCAAACGAACCCAAGCCGAAUCAGUCAUUUGUUUGGGAAGUAUCUCUCGUCUCCUCUGCAAUCACCAUGUCUCUCACCGCCAUCGAGAUGUCCUCCAUCCAAAAGGUAUUUUUCGAUCUGAUAUUCCCCUCCCUUGCAAUAAAAUGCGCCACCCGAUAAGCUUCCCUUCUUGCAUGUUUAAAUCUAAUUUGAUGAAAAGUCCUCCCAAUUGAUUUGAUACCUGUAAUGACAGAAUCCAAAUAUGCUCGAUCAAAACCUUCAUGGUUGAUUUUCUCAAUUACCGUCCUAGAGUCCCCUUCUACCUCCACUUUGGUAAACCCGGUCUCUUUAGCAAAAAGAAGCCCUUGAAAGUUGGCUAUAGCUUCUGCCAAUAACGCAUCAAAGAUAUUGCCAUGGUGAGUAACUCCACUUCCCAUUACCUUUCCUCUUUCAUUUCUAAUAAUAAAACCCGAACAUGAACUCUUCGUUUGGCUUUUGUAGGCUGCAUCAAAAUUCAGUUUAACCCACGAAACUUGAGGAGGUCUCCAACAGUCUGAACCCACCGCAUUCACUACAGGUAAUUUCUCAUUUAACACUCUUAAUUCAUCAACCAUACUUAAGAUUUUUGCUAUUGAAUUCUGCUUUGUUGUUGAAAUACCUUUCGUCACUUGUUUGUUACGAGCCCACCAGAUUGCUCAAAUCGCUAUGAUAACCUUUUCCCAGAUCCUCUCUUCCUUAUGUUGGACUAGGUGAAAAAACCAUUGUAAAAAAGUCUCCAAAUUCAGAUUACUACCCCAGGAAAUACCUAUCCCAGUCCAUAUUUCUUUGACACUAUUACAUUCUACAACCACAUGUAGAAAAGACUCUGAAGUCGUAUUACACCGAGGAUAAAUUGCAGAAGUUCUAAUCCUCCGAUUAAAGAGCACUUGGUCUGUUGGCAAGAAGUCUCUUAAAGCUCGCCACAUCGUUAUUUUGAUCUUAGCAGGCAUAGAUAGAGACCACAUUUUUUUUAACACCAUUUGGGUAUCCUCUGAUAUUUCUGUAGUAUCACUUUGAAGCAUGAGUUCUUUAUAACCACUACGUACAAUAUACUGACCCGUUUUCUCCCCACGCCACACUUGGCAG
rnacentral:lncRNA from 1 species